rnacentral:rRNA from 1 species
GCCAGCAGCCAUAUCACUCUGUAACUCACAACUGGCAACCCACUGAAGCUUAGCAGGUGUGAGCCUGGUCAGUACCUGGAUGGGAGACCUCCUGGGAAAAACUAAGGUUGCUGCUGGAA